ACAGCGUUUGUAUUUUUGUUUGAGGAACGUAAAUGGAACACGUAGAAUUCAUUAUUGUAAUCAUUAUUAUUCAGAUAUGAUAUGGGAUAUAAAUCAUAAGUGGCAUUUAGGAAAUAAAUGGUUAAAAAAAAAGGAAUCAUAUUGAAGGCCAGAGAAUGUAAAGUUUGCAGUUGGAAUGAUAGUUAAACAUGAUAAAGAGGUGGGUGUGAUCGUCGGAUGGGACAGAUAUGAUAUUGAUAGAAGUGAUACAAUCUCUUUAGACGUUACACAGGACUUAGA